rnacentral:rRNA from 1 species
UACGUAGGGUGCGAGCGUUAAUCGGAAUUACUGGGCGUAAAGCGUGCGCAGGCGGUUCGCCAAGUCAGGUGUGAAAUCCCCGGGCUUAACCUGGGAAUUGCGCUUGAAACUAGCGAGCUUGAGUGUGGCAGAGGGGGGUGGAAUUCCACGUGUAGCAGUGAAAUGCGUAGAGAUGUGGAGGAACACCGAUGGCGAAGGCAGCCCCCUGGGUCAACACUGACGCUCAUGCACGAAAGCGUGGGGAGCAAACAGGAUUAGAUACCCUGGUAGUCCACGCCCUAAACGAUGUCGACUAGGUGUUGGGGAAGGAGACUUCCUUAGUACCGCAGCUAACGCGUGAAGUCGACCGCCUGGGGAGUACGGUCGCAAGAUUA